ACCAAUUUGACAACAAAUUAGAUUAAAAAAUCAAAAAUAAAAAUUGUUUAUAGUUUGCCUGAGCAGUAAUUUUCUAAUUAUACUCAGUUAGCUAUAAAAGAAUUCUGUAGUCUCCCAAAGCACCUAAUUUAUAAUCAAGAAGUCAUCCCAAUGAGACAAGGUGAGCCUGUUUGCAAGUGUAUCUCAAGCAUCCAUAUUUGGCUCAUAAGCUUCUAACCACAUGUUUCCUUUAAAAGGUGAAGAUAUGCAACCCAAUAUAUGAGAAGCCUGGAUGUCUGAAGCCUUCAGAAUGGCAACAGCAAAAGACUGCUUAAUUAAGAAAUGGCAGAGUUGUCUAAACCCAGCAAGAGGGCAACGAUUCAGCAUUCACCCCAUCACUGAUCUGCUUUUUAAUCUUCUCCAGCUCAUCAACUUCUUUCUUUUCUUAAUAACGACUUUAUUGGGUUGUGUUUCUCUUGAGGUUUGAGAAUGGAGAAAGAGAUAUCUAUGAAAAUUUCAGGACUGUGUCAUUGAUGCUGUCUUUCUCCAGUGACUUACUUCAACACGCAUGACUACUGGGCCAACAUUGUCAGUGAAAGAAUGCUCCUCUGUUACACCUUUGACUGCAGCUGGCAUCAUAAGAUAGAAGUCCAGUGGAACACCUCACUCAGUAACGGGCAGCUUUGUUUCCAGUAGGCCUUGCAGACUGCAGUUUGACAGCUGCAGGAGGAGAUGAAAUCCAGAAACUGACAGUGCUCCACACCUCCACAGAAGUGCAGAUUUCACUGUAGUCUGGAAUACCCUUGAAGGUGAUGGAGUGGUGAGAACCUCAUCUUCUCCUUUCUAAGCUUAGACUUUUUUGAUUAUGGAUAUUUGAGAAUUAAUCUUUGCUUUCAUCGUGUGUGCAAAUGUGUUUAUAUGAUCAGUUGACCACUGAAGACUGGGGGAAAAAAAUAAAGAAAUAGCUAUGAUUCACAGUAGGUGGGAGACCAGGAAAAUGGCUGAACUCGGUGGGGCUAUGUCCAGUCUAAGUUGUGCUGGGGAAGCUUAGAGCACCAAAGUCAAGGGGCUCCUGGGUGGCUCAGUUGGUUGAGCGUCUGACUCUUGAUUUUAGCUCAGGUCAUGAUCCCAGGGUAGUGGGAUUGGGCCUAGCAUUGGGGUAUGCACUGAGUGUGGAGCCUGUUUAAGAUUCUCUCUCCCCCUCUCUCUCUCUCUCCUCUCUAUCCCUCUGCCCCUUUCCCCUGCCUGUGCUCCCUCUCUCUAAAAUAAAAAUUAAAAAAAAAAAAGAACACCAAAGUCAACCUGAACUGUUCUUUAAGAGUCUCCAGGGCAGUACUCCAGGUCGAAUAACUCACAAUUGAGACAAUGAACCCUAGGGGGAAGGGGACAGACGAAGGCUGGGAUAACUCUAACAAACAAUAGGCAAGGGAGGAGAUUUCCCAAAGAUGGAUCAAGAUUUUCAUAUCUGACGGUCAGUUAACAUUACUCUGAAAAGAAAGCAAGCCAGAAUGAAGAGAACAAGACUUGCAACACGGGGGGACACCUGCAAACAUAUUCUCUGUGAAGGGUUUUACUUCCUAGGUACCUUUCCCUCAUGGGAAAUACAACAGUUAGCUAGCUCAUAGUUUUCAAUUCUUUCCCUCACAUUUAAUUUGCUUUAGUUUUUUCCUAAACCUUCAAAGUUGUCUGAUGUGUUCAUAUAACUGUGUGGAGGUCUUCUCAAAGGAAAUAAGGAAUCCAUUCAUAAGAGGAAACGAGUCUUUUCUCCUCCCAACGAUUUCCUCUGCAGAGGCUCUUCAGAGGUGUCUGCAUCACCUUUGCCACAAGGAAGCCUGAAAUACACGUUUCUGUGCCACAACCAACUGCAAAGUAGUGUGACUUGAAUUGGUGUGGUCCAGGGCUGGGAGGAGCCCUGAAGUUUGAAGUGUCCUUUGCUUCACAGAAAAUCCACCUGUUACAGUAAAUCCACUUCUGUCAAAAUUCCUGAACAGCUACUCCUCCCUCCUGAGUUUUAGUUUUCUGUCUCAGGAAGCAAGUCCCCACCUGGAUGGGCUGUAAUGUCAUCCUGAGCUGGGACUUUAUUUUAUCAAGUAUAAUAUGCAUAUAUAAAGGUUCACAUUUCAACAUUGUACAUUUUGAUAAAUUUUUACAAACUUAAUACGUCUAUAACCAACACCCCAGAAGGCCCUCCCUCUUUCCAGACACUACACCAUCCCUUCACCAAGGAAUCACUAUCCUGAUUUCUAGCUAGUAGACCAGUUCUGCCUAUAGAAGUGCUUUAUAUAUAAGAACUCAUAUACUAUAUAUAUUGUGUGUCUGGUUUCUUUCUUUCCAUAUUACAUUUCUGGGAUUUGCAGAUGGUUUAUUCUCAAAGGUGUGUGGGUGUAUAGUAUUGCUCUGUGUGUGAUUACUACAACUUAUUCUUCCAUCUAACUUUUUUUGUAAAGAGCAGCGGGAGGGACAGAGAGAGGGAGAGGAGAGAGAAUCCCAAGCAGGCCCCGCACUGUCAGUGCAGAACCUGAGCCCGAUGUAGGGCAGAUACUCAACGGAAUGAACCACCUAGCUGGCCCCUUCCUCUAACUUUUGAUGAGCAUUUGGUAGUUUUGUAUUUUAGGCUAUUAAAAAUUACUACCAUGAACAUUCUAGUAUGUAUCUUUUGUAAGCAUGCAUCUAUUUAUAUAUAUAGGAAUGGAAAUUCUGGGUCAUAAAGUAUUCGUGUAUUAAACUUAAUGAAUACUUCCAGAUCCAAAGUGCUUAUGCUAAUUUACGUUUCCAUGAACUGUGUGCAUGGGAGUUACAGUCAGUCCACAGCCAGAUCAAAACUUGAUGGUGUCUGCUUUUUACAUUUUAUCAAUUCUAGUAGGUGUAUAUACCAUCUCAUUGUGGUUUUAUGUGCAUUUCACUUAUGGCUACUGAAAUAAAUUACUUCUUUAAAAUGUU